GGGCCGUUAGCUCAGCUGGUAGAGCAGGAGACUCUUAAUCUCAAGGUCGCAGGUUCGAUCCCUGCACGGCCCA
rnacentral:tRNA from 1 species